rnacentral:lncRNA from 1 species
GCUGUGAGGAUGACCCUGGUCCUUUACGUGUACUGUGUAGUCUGUUUACAGCCUGUUUCUCUUUCAGCGAGGAUCUAGGAAAGGAUGUUGAAUUUGAGGUAGUUGGUGACACCCCUGAAAAAGUGGGUCCAAAACAAGCUGAAGACGCUGCCAAAAGCAUUGCCAACGGCAGCGAUGAUGGCGCCCAGCCUUCCACCUCCACAGGUGAGCCACCUCCUAGCACAGGACAGAACAGGCUGGUCCUCCUCGGAUGGACAGUGUGAAAUACUGAGGCCGAGUUGGUUUGGAAUUGAUUGUUUAGCAGGGCUUUGAGUUUUACGAGUCGUGAAGACCUUGAGGACCAGGGACAGUCCUAGAGGGAUUGGGAGCGGCUUCUGAAUGCCCACAGCAGGCUGUGGGCUCAGUUCCCCGUCCCUGGUCUGUCCUGCUUGAGCUGCCUCCUUAAGCUGUGCGCCUGCUCUUGGAGCAGGUGCUUCCGGGGUGGGGAUAGGCUUCCAGGAAGGCAGGGGCCUACGCAAGCCACCUCAGAGUUUCCCCUUAUGUGAGCACUUGUCUUUCGGAGUUCUUUAAAUGUUUACUGUGGCCUGUAGCAUUUUCUGAGAACCAGGGGUAAACUGAGGCUGUAGAACUGGCCUCAACGUGGCUGGUCUGUUCUCUCCCCUCAGCAGGAGCAUUUUCUGUACCCUGGCCCUCUACUGUGGGCAGGAAAGUGCAGUUCUGUUUUUAAGUUUGCACAUGAGAACACAUUGUCUUUGGGGGUAGGGUUAAACAGCACAAGUGUGGGGGGGUCUCUGCUGUGACUCUAGGGAGCCCAUCUCUGUCCCUCUGUUUCCUUUCUGGAAGUGGGAUAAUAAUGUUGUCUUCUUUAUAGGGAUGAUUAGAUGAGGUUGCACAGUGCUCAGAGCAGUCCCUGGCGGUUGUAAGUGGCUUGUUG